UGCUGAUUUGAUCUUCCGCCCAGAUUUCCUAACAUAGUGAGAGCAGAUCACCAAACGUGGUCUGUUGUCCCACGGUCACUGAGAUCUAAACUUAUCUAAGUUUGAAAUACAAACAAGGCUCAGACAGAAAAAGCAACGGCAAACGUUCUCCUCAUCACUUGCCCCCCUCAUCUGUUUCUGCUCAACGCCAUGCACUGUCAGCAGCAGACGAGCUCUUUGAUUAGCCUGCAGAGAAAGAAGAAGCGUGAGAGACGUCUGAGCCGACGCAAAAUUCCAUGUGUAAAGACUGUCAUCUAGCUCCCACAUCUGUCACAUGAUGGCCAGCCAAGCAGUAGCUCCCUGCAGCUGUGGACUUUCCAUCCUUCUGCAUGAAAUGGAAGCAAGAAAAAAUGCACCAUGGCCUUCACUGGUUGGUGGCACUGGCACAGGACAUUUUUAUGGAGCUACAAUCCAAUUACAUUUUGGAUUAGAAAGUGACAAAUUCCUCAAAGAACGUUUAGCAAGAAAUUCCUGUGAAGAGACUAUUCAGUAAUGUUUUAACAGGUAUUGUGGUAAUACCAUCAUGCAAUGAUUCCUUCCUGAGCUGGGUGCCCCAAGGUCCCUCCAGGACAUGCUGCGUCCUGUUUCACUUUUCUGUCUCCAUUAUAUCCAUAUUGAGAGUUAAAGAGCUGCACCUCCAACCACUGGCUAGAACUUCAGUAACUUUACGCUGAUACCUGCUAACCAAGUGAGUCAACGGAAGAACCCUGAUACAUUGUUAUACACUCCCGUGACCAGAGGAUUAUGUGGGCCUCAAUCCAAGAUCAAUCAGACUAUUUAUGUGAGUAAGGUAAAGCAAGAAGGUACUAUCAAAACAAACAAACAAAUCCUCUUUCUGUUCUCUCUUUCUGUGAUUUUGUUUGCUGAACUGUUACAAUGCAUGAAAAGGAAUUUUCAGAUGCUCAUCCAGUUGAGAACUUUGGAUAGGCACGUUCAAUAUGCUGCAUAAAAUAGCAUAACAAGAUUCUGAUCUUUGAAAUCUAGUAUUAAUUUGUUCUGUGUAAAUGUAUGGCAGAAAUCUCUUUUCCAGAGUGUAAAACAAAGUUGCAGUUCCACCUUGAGGUGUCUACAGCAUCCUAAAAGCCACUCCUAGUAAUACCGUAGUUGGCUAUUAAUUUUGCAGCAGUGAAUUCAUUAACCACUUGGGUAUCUGAAAUGGAGAAUUAAUGAUAAAAUGUUGUGCACCUGGUAGAUAUUGAAAGGACACAUUAACAUCUGAUGAAUUUUGCUUUCGUGUUUUAUGACAAUAAUUAUAUUUACACUACUGUCUUACAUAAAAAGGUUUUACAUAAAAGAGAUGCGUCUGGCAUGCCACAUAUUCCAAAAUUUUAUAAUUGUUCAAAUAAAAACUAACAACUAAUUUCAAAACUCUUAGAAAGUUUGCUUGUUUGUUUUAUACUGAGCAUAUCAUCCGCCAAAUAUUGC